rnacentral:snRNA from 1 species
GUGCUUACUUUGGCAGCACAUAUACUAACAUUGGAAUGAUACAGAGAAGAUUAGCAUGGCCCAUGUGCAAGGAUGACACACAAAUUCAUGAAGCAUUCCAUGUUUUU